AUGAACGGCAUGUACUACCCUCAGCGUUUCAGCAACAUGAUGAUCGGCUACCUCAACCUGGCCACGCUCCUGGCCUCCAUCCCGGUCAUCGGGGCGGGGCUCUGGCUGGCCAAGGGCUCGACGACGACGUGCUCCUCCAUGCUGCAGACGCCGCUGCUCAUCAUCGGCUUCAUCGUGCUCCUCAUCUCCCUCGCGGGCUUCGUGGGCGCCUGCUUCCACGUCGCAUGGGCGCUGUGGCUCUACCUCUUCGCCGUGAUACUCCUCAUCGGCAUGCUGCUCGGGCUCACCAUGUUCGGGUUCGCCGUCACGGCGGGGGGCGGCGGCACGCAGGUGCAGGGCAGGCCGUACAGGGAGUACCACAUCUCGGACUACUCCUCGUGGCUCCAGAAGCAUAUGCAGGACAUCAAGUACUGGAAGCCCGCGCUGGCCUGCGUCGUCGGGUCCAAGGCAUGCCCCAAGAUCGCCAACUGGACUCCCAUGGAUUACCUCCAGCAUGAUCUCACGCCAAUACAGUCUGGGUGCUGCAAGCCACCAACAUCAUGCACAUACAGCGGGGGGAUGCCGGUCGGAGCGCAGGACGAGGACUGCUACCAGUGGAACAAUGCCCCAAACAUCCUGUGCUACCAGUGUAACUCGUGCAAGGCCGGCGUGAUGGAGCAGGUGCGCCAGGACUGGCACAAGAUCUCCGUGCUAAACGUCAUCGUGCUCGUCUUCCUCAUCUGCAUCUGCGCCUGCGGGUGCUGCGCCUUCAGAAACGCCCGCCGCUCCGUCUCCGAGUACCCAUACGGGGUAAACCGCAUGUCCAAGAUCAAUCCACGCUGGGACUACUACUGGUGGCGAUGGUUCCGCGAUAGGAGGGAACAAACGUACUAG
rnacentral:rRNA from 1 species